UACGUAGGGUGCAAGCGUUGGUCCGGAAUUAUUGGGCGUAAAGAGCUCGUAGGCGGUUUGUCGCGUCGUGCUGUGAAAACUCGGGGCUUAACUCCGGGCCUGCAGUGGGUACGGGCAGACUAGAGUGCGGUAGGGGAGACUGGAAUUCCUGGUGUAGCGGUGAAAUGCGCAGAUAUCGGGAGGAACACCGGUGGCGAAGGCGGUUCUCUGG
rnacentral:rRNA from 1 species